rnacentral:rRNA from 1 species
CGGUCAAGGAUGGACUCGCGGCCUAUCAGGUAGUUGGUGAGGUAACGGCUCACCAAGCCGACGACGGGUAGCCGGCCUGAGAGGGUGACCGGCCACACUGGGACUGAGACACGGCCCAGACUCCUACGGGAGGCAGCAGUGGGGAAUAUUGCACAAUGGGCGCAAGCCUGAUGCAGCAACGCCGCGUGAGGGACGACGGCCUUCGGGUUGUAAACCUCUUUUAGUAGGGAAGAAGCGAAAGUGACGGUACCUGCAGAAAAAGCACCGGCUAACUACGUGCCAGCAGCCGCGGUAAUACGUAGGGUGCAAGCGUUGUCCGGAAUUAUUGGGCGUAAAGAGCUCGUAGGCGGUUUGUCGCGUCUGCUGUGAAAACCCGAGGCUCAACCUCGGGCCUGCAGUGGGUACGGGCAGACUAGAGUGCGGUAGGGGAGAUUGGAAUUCCUGGUGUAGCGGUGGAAUGCGCAGAUAUCAGGAGGAACACCGAUGGCGAAGGCAGAUCUCUGGGCCGUAACUGACGCUGAGGAGCGAAAGCGUGGGGAGCGAACAGGAUUAGAUACCCUGGUAGUCCACGCCGUAAACGUUGGGAACUAGAUGUGGGGACCAUUCCACGGUCUCCGUGUCGCAGCU